UACGAAGGGGGCUAGCGUUGCUCGGAAUCACUGGGCGUAAAGCGCACGUAGGCGGAUCCUUAAGUCGGGGGUGAAAUCCUGGAGCUCAACUCCAGAACUGCCUUCGAUACUGAGGAUCUCGAGUCCGGGAGAGGUGAGUGGAACUGCGAGUGUAGAGGUGAAAUUCGUAGAUAUUCGCAAGAACACCAGUGGCGAAGGCGGCUCACUGGCCCGAUACUG
rnacentral:rRNA from 1 species